rnacentral:rRNA from 1 species
AAGGGCAGCUAAUACCGCAUGAGACCUGAGGGUGAAAGCGGGGGAUCGCAAGACCUCGCGCUGGAAGAGCGGCCGAUGUCCGAUUAGCUAGUUGGUGAGGUAAAGGCUCACCAAGGCGACGAUCGGUAGCUGGUCUGAGAGGACGACCAGCCACACUGGGACUGAGACACGGCCCAGACUCCUACGGGAGGCAGCAGUGGGGAAUUUUGGACAAUGGGGGCAACCCUGAUCCAGCCAUGCCGCGUGCAGGAUGAAGGUCUUCGGAUUGUAAACUGCUUUUGUCAGGGACGAAAAGGGAUGCGAUAACACCGCAUUCCGCUGACGGUACCUGAAGAAUAAGCACCGGCUAACCACGUGCCAGCAGCCGCGGUAAUACGUAGGGUGCAAGCGUUAAUCGGAAUUACUGGGCGUAAAGCGUGCGCAGGCGGUUCUGUAAGAUAGAUGUGAAAUCCCCGGGCUCAACCUGGGAAUUGCAUAUAUGACUGCAGGACUUGAGUUUGUCAGAGGAGGGUGGAAUUCCACGUGUAGCAGUGAAAUGCGUAGAUAUGUGGAAGAACACCGAUGGCGAAGGCAGCCCUCUGGGACAUGACUGACGCUCAUGCACGAAAGCGUGGGGAGCAAACA